AUGGGCAUAGCAUAAUAAAACACUGGUUCUCAUACAAGCAUCCAAGUUAAGCAAUGUCGAGCCUGGUCACUACUUAGAUGGGUGACUGCUUGGGAAUAUCAAGUGCUGUA